GAGCGAGUCUGCCUUGAAGAUCGGAGUGCUUGCACUCUGUGAAACAAGAUACAGGCUAGCGGCGGACGGGUGAGUAACACGUGGGUAACCUGCCCAAGAGAUCGGGAUAACACCUGGAAACAGAUGCUAAUACCGGAUAACAACAGAUGAUGCCUAUCAACUGUUUAAAAGAUGGUUCUGCUAUCACUCUUGGGAUGGACCUGCGGUGCAUUAGCUAGUUGGUAGGGGUAAACGGGCCUACCAAGGCGAUGAUGCAUAGCCGAGUUGAGAGACUGAUCGGCCACAUUGGGACUGAGACACGGCCCAAACUCCUACGGGAGGCAGCAGUAGGGAAUCUUCCACAAUGGACGCAAGUCUGAUGGAGCAACGCCGCGUGAGUGAAGAAGGGUUUCGGCUCGUAAAGCUCUGUUGUUGGUGAAGAAGGACAGGGGGUAGUAACUGACCUUUGUUUGACGGUAAUCAAUUAGAAAGUCACGGCUAACUACGUGCCAGCAGCCGCGGGUAAAAUCGCUA
rnacentral:rRNA from 1 species